UGUAUCCGCUCGGGAAACGGCGAAGAGCCCCGUAUAAGAGCCCCAGUGUGAUAGGCUGGUUGCUGUCACGUGACACACGCUACCACAAGAAGCGGAAGCGAGAACGAGCCUUAUGGGAUAAGCAUGUGGGCAAGAUGAGGCCUCUUCAUUUUUGGUCUGGACAUCCUUUCCGGUUUUGAAGAGGCAGUUGAUAUUGAAAAUACAGAUUCAGAAAAUACAUGAUGAAGAAUUGGUGCCGUGCAGGGGAGACUGAAGCACCCCUGGCAUUUUCCAUGUGGGUGAACGUCACUCGUGGGUCACCCACUUGCAGUUUUACAGGUUGUCAGCUUUUGUCAUCAUGAUCAUGGAGCUGUGUGAUCUUUAACUAGUUCCUGGAGCUGUGUGAAGUGCCCUCCUGCUUCAAAUGCCACAAUCAUCCCAUUUCCCCAAAAAAUCCUUUGAAAGACUGGUGUUGAGCCAUCUAAAGGACAUAACAGUACCCCUGCUGGACCCCCUGCGGUUUGCCUACCGGGCAAACAGAUCGGCGGAUGAUGCCAUCAGUGGAGUCAAAUUUCUUGUUUGUUAAUGCAAACCUGGCAAUAAAGCGGAUUCUGAUCAUCA